rnacentral:rRNA from 1 species
GAGUAUGGCCUUAGAAAUAAAAUUGAAUCUCAGAAGCUAAGCAGGGUCAGGCCUGGUUAGUACUUGGAUGGGAGACCACCUAGGAAGAACAGGUGCCGUAGGCG